rnacentral:rRNA from 1 species
UACAGAGGUGGCAAGCGUUGUUCGGAAUUACUGGGCGUAAAGGGCGCGUAGGCGGUCCUGUAAGUCCUGUGUGAAAUCCCCCGGCUCAACUGGGGAACGGCACAGGAGACUGCGGGGCUCGAGUUCGGGAGAGGGAAGCGGAAUUCCGGGUGUAGCGGUGAAAUGCGUAGAUAUCCGGAGGAACACCGGUGGCGAAGGCGGCUUCCUGGACCGUCACUGACGCUGAGGCGCGAAAGCCAGGGGAGCAAACGGG